UAGAAAGUGGUGUAAUGGAAGCACUGAGAGUUUUGAUCUCUCCAGAUAGGGUUCAAAUCCCUUCUUUCUAA
rnacentral:tRNA from 1 species